UGCAGGCUUGCUUCUAUGUGAAACUCCUUCGAAGAGUCGAGUUGUUUGGGAAUGCAGCUCAAAAUGGGUGGUAAAUUUCAUCUAAAGCUAAAUAUUGGCGGGAGACCGAUAGCGCACAAGUAGAGUGAUCGAAAGAUGAAAAGCACUUUGAAAAGAGAGUUAAACAGUACGUGAAAUUGUUGAAAGGGAAGCGCUUGCAAUCAGACUUGCCUUCAGUUGAUCAGCGUUCCUUUUGGUUCGUGCACUCUGCUGUUUGCAGGCCAGCAUCAGUUGGUGCGGUGGGACAAAGGUUUCGGGAAUGUGGCUCACCUCGGUGAGUGUUAUAGCCCGUUUCGUAAUGCCACCAGCGCCGACUGAGGUCCGCGAUUCGUCUAGGAUGCUGGCUUAAUGGUUGU
rnacentral:rRNA from 1 species